CCCUUUGGGGGUCCACCAGGUGCGAAACUUUUCAAAUAGGCGAAAGCCUUACAGAGUUACUCGGAGUGAUUUCCUUUAAGGAGAUCUUACGACAGUUGUAAAAAUGGUGCCAAAUAAGGAGCGGGCAAGUCUGGUGUCAGCCGCCGCGGUAAUACUAGCACCCCGAGUGGUAGCGAUGAUUAUUGAGCCUAAAGCAUCUGUAGCAGAUUCGCCAAUUCUUCCGGUAAUUCCACAGGGUUAACAGAUGUUCUUCGGAAGAUACUACAUACCUAGGAGCUGGGAGAGGUAAGAGGUACUCAAUGUGUAGGGGUAAAAUCCCGUGAUCCCUUGAAGACCACCAGUGGGGAAGGCGUCUUGCCAGAACGCGCUUGACGGUGAGGGAAGAAAGCUCGGGGCUCGAACCGGAUUAGAUACCCGGGUAGUCCCAGCCGUUAACGAUGCACCCUUGGUGACAAGUCUAUUUUAAACCAACUCAGUGCCGCAGGGAAGCCGUGAAGCUAGCCUCCUCGGGAGUACGGUCGCAAGCAUGAAACUUAAAGGAAUCGGCGGGCGAGCACAAGGGCGAAUCGCG
rnacentral:rRNA from 1 species